rnacentral:rRNA from 1 species
AAAUCAGCCUGAAUAGUGGUGCAUGGAAUAAUGGAACAGGACCUUGGUUCUAUUUUGUUGGUUUUCGGAAUCCAAGGUAAUGAUCAAUAAGGACAGGCGGGGGCAUUCGUAUUGCGACGUUAGAGGUGAAAUUCUUGGAUCGUCGCAAGACGCACUAGAGCGAAAGCAUUUGCCAAGUAUGUCUUAAUUGAUCAAGAACGAAAGUUAGAGGUUCGAAGGCGAUCAGAUACCGCCCUAGUUCUAACCAUAAACGAUGCCAGCCAGCGAUCCGCCGACGUUCCUCCGAUGACUCGGCGGGGAGCUUCCCCCGGGAAACCAAAGCUUUUGGGUUCCGGGGGAAGUAUGGUUGCAAAGCUGAAACUUAAAGGAAUUGACGGAAGGGCACCACCAGGAGUGGAGCCUGCGGCUUAAUUUGACUCAACACGGGAUAUCCCACCAGGCCCGGACAUUGGAAGGAUUGACAGAUCGAUAGCUCUUUCUCGAUUCAGUGGGUAGUGG